rnacentral:rRNA from 1 species
UUGGAGGGCAAGUCUGGUGCCAGCAGCCGCGGUAAUUCCAGCUCCAAUAGCGUAUAUUAAAGUUGUUGCAGUUAAAAAGCUCGUAGUUGAAUUUCGGGAUCGACGGGUCGGUCGCGCCUCUGGUGUGUACUGGCCCUAUCGGUUUCUCCCUUCUGACGAACCACGAUGUCAUUAAUUUGGUGUCGUGGGAAAUCAGGACUGUUACUUUGAAAAAAUUAGAGUGUUUAAAGCAAGCAUUCGCUUGAAUACAUUAGCAUGGAAUAAUGAAAUAGGACGUUUGAUCUUAUUUUGUUGGUUUCUAAGAUCGACGUAAUGAUUAAUAGGGAUAGUUGGGGGCAUUAGUAUUCAAUUGUCAGAGGUGAAAUUCUUGGAUUUAUUGAAGACUAACUACUGCGAAAGCAUUUGCCAAGGAUGUUUUCAUUAAUCAAGAACGAAAGUUAGGGGAUCGAAGACGAUCAGAUACCGUCGUAGUCUUAACCAUAAACUAUGCCGACUAGGGAUCGGAUGAUGUUAAUUUUUUAAUGACUCAUUCGGCACCUUACGGGAAAC